rnacentral:lncRNA from 1 species
AACUUGAUUCUCCCCUUGGAAAAGUACACGCUAUCAAUCCCUUGGUUUGAAUCUAACUGGAAAGUGAAAUCCUUGAUUCUGGUCCACAUUCAUGUCCCUCUGAUACAUCCUCACGGACUGCCACGGUGUGUUCCGCAGAGCCUUCUCUUCCCCUUCCCUUUCCUCUUUCCUUUUCCUUUUCCUUUUCCUUUUCCUUUUCCUUUUCCUUUUCCCCUUCCCCUUCACCUUCCCCUUCCCCUUCCCCUUCCCCUUCUCCUUCCCUUCGUACCCCGGAGUCCCGGCUCCGCAGGGCAGGGACAAGCCCCCGACUCUCGGUGCCCAGCACGGCGAGCACGCCGCCCCUUUCCUUCCCGCCCGCCGCCCCUCGCGGCCUCCCCCCCCUCCACACCCGGUGCCUGGCGCGGGCGGCGCGGCCCCGCGGCCCGGCCCGGCCCCGCCGCUGGCAGCCGCCGGGGCGGAGCCCUCGCGCCCUAUCGCCGCCGGGCCUCCCGCCACCUCCCCUCACGGCCCGGCCCCGGACCCAGCCGCGGCGAGGCGGAGCGGAGCGGAACGGGGCGGGGACCCGCGGCGGUGCCGCCCGCCCGUGCUCGGCGGCCGGGGCUGGCCCCGCGGUCGCCCGGGAGCGGUGUCUGUGGGCCCGGGCCGGCUGGGGCGAAACUCCCCGGGGGAGGGGAGGGAAAGGGAGGAGAGCGGCCGGGCCGGGCCGGGAGCCGGGAGCGCUGCGGGGCCCUGUCCGUCCCGGCCCGAGCGAUGCGGCCGGCUCCGCGGCACCGAGCGGCGGCGUGCGGGGAGCUGCCGUGCCCCGGGAGGCGGCCGCGUGUCCGUGGCUCGGGGCAGGAGAGCCGGCAGCUGGCGGAGCCGGCCGGCACGGCUCAGCCCGCGGGGAAGAAGUGGCACCACACGGAGAGGCGGGCGGUUAUGGUCGAAUAUAUGCUGUUUAUUUAUGAGUGUAACCAGGACUUCGAACAAACUUUAUAUGCAGCCCUCCCUCCCCCCCAACAAUCCCCAACCCCACCGCUGGGUACCCACCCGCGGCGCACACGCCCCCCGCACACGCACGCCCCGGCGCUGCCCUCCCGCUGCCCCGGCCCCGGGCCGACUUGCUGCCCUGCUCCAGCUACGAGCGCUCCGGCGAAGGGGGUUUGUUUGGGCUGGUUUGUUUGUGUGUUGUUGUUUUUUUUUUGUUUGUUUGUUUGUUUGUUUUUCCGCUCUCUGCCGGGGAUAAGCUCCGGAGUCCAAAGGUGCUGCGGCGGGGAGGCAGCGGCCGGCCCGGGCCCGCGCUGGAGGCAGCGCAGCGCACACUCGCACUCACCCACCCACACAAAUAAUAAAAUAACGUUGCAGCACAAGGGCAUAGUCUCUGUCACCAGAUAA